GCACUGGAAGUAGCAUGCUGUUAUUGUCACCAUGCACGAGCCAAGCAUGCAGCACUGAGUGAAACAGGUAACCCAUAGCGCAGCUCCACUGGUUCCAAAUUUGAUGGACACAGCCAUGAGUUACCUGGCAGUAUUGUGGCAGAGGGUAUCUUGUGCCACAGAAGUACAUACGAACAGUCCAGCAGAAAUACAGCAGCAGCCCAAUCCCAGUCUAUAACUCUGCAGAGGCUCAGAGAGAUAGUAGCAAACCAGGU